AUGGCUCAGGAUAAACGCUGGCGGCGUAGCUUAACACAUGCAAGUCGAACGGAGUAUCCUCCCGAGACCGAGGAAGCUGCUCUGAAGAAUCAUUGGAAUACUUAGUGGCGGACGGGUGAGUAACGCGUGGGUAACCUGCCUCACACAGGGGGAUAACAGUUGGAAACGACUGUUAAUACCGCAUAAGCGCACAGUACCGCAUGGUACAGUGUGAAAAACUCCGGUGGUGUGAGAUGGACCCCGCGUCUGAUUAGCUAGUUGGUGAGGUAACGGCCCACCAAGGCGACGAUCAGUAGCCGGCCUGAGAGGGUGUACGGCCACAUUGGGACUGAGACACGGCCCAAACUCCUACGGGAGGCAGCAGUGGGGAAUAUUGCACAAUGGGGGAAUCCCUGAUGCAGCGACGCCCGCGUGAGUGAUGAAGUAUCUCGGUAUGUAAAGCUCUAUCAGCAGGGAAGAUAAUGACGGUACCUGACUAAGAAGCACCGGCUAAAUACGUGCCAGCCGCCGC
rnacentral:rRNA from 1 species